AUUGAACGCUGACGGCAGGCCUAACACAUGCAAGUCGAACGAAGUCUUCGGACUUAGUGGCGGACGGGUGAGUAACACGUGGAAACGUGCCUUUAGGUUCGGAAUAACUCAGGGAAACUUGUGCUAAUACCGAAUGUGCCCUUCGGGGGAAAGAUUUAUCGCCUUUAGAGCGGCCCGCGUCUGAUUAGCUAGUUGGUGAGGUAAUGGCUCACCAAGGCGACGAUCAGUAGCUGGUCUGAGAGGAUGACCAGCCACAUUGGGACUGAGACACGGCCCAAACUCCUACGGGAGGCAGCAGUGGGGAAUCUUGCGCAAUGGGCGAAAGCCUGACGCAGCCAUGCCGCGUGGAUGAUGAAGGUCUUAGGAUUGUAAAAUCCUUUCACCGGUGAAGAUAAUGACUGUAGCCGGAGAAGAAGCCCCGGCUAACUUCGUGCCAGCCGCCGCCGUAACAC
rnacentral:rRNA from 1 species